rnacentral:rRNA from 1 species
CUAACUUGCUAGGUGGAUUAGUGGCGCACGGGUGAGUAAUAUAUAGAUAACGUGCCUCUUAGUCUGGGAUAGCCAUUGGAAACGAUGAUUAAUACUAGAUACUCCUUCUAACUCUAAUGUUAGUCGGGAAAGUUUUUCGCUAAGAGAUCGGUCUAUAUCCCAUCAGCUAGUUGGUAGUGUAAGAGACUACCAAGGCAAUGACGGGUAGCGGGUUUGAGAGGAUGAUCCGCCACACUGGUACUGAGACACGGACCAGACUCCUACGGGAGGCAGCAGUGAGGAAUAUUGCACAAUGGAGGAAACUCUGAUGCAGCAACGCCGCGUGGAGGAUGACGCAUUUCGGUGUGUAAACUCCUUUUAUAUGUCAAGAAAAUGACGGUAGCAUAUGAAUAAGCACCGGCUAACUCCGUGCCAGCAGCCGCGGUAAUACGGAGGGUGCAAGCGUUAUUCGGAAUCACUGGGCGUAAAGGACGCGUAGGCGGGAUGCCAAGUCUGAUGU